rnacentral:rRNA from 1 species
AUGGAGAAGUAUUUGAUAAAGAAAUCAAGAGAUGUCAACACCACCACCCAAGGUCCUCCUUCCACCACCAACAGUUCAAGUGGUAGUGGAAAUGCAUCAAGACCUGUACCAAGACAUAAUUCUGCUGUGCCUGCACUAAUUGACUUGAACAAGCUUCCUCGGGAUCCAUCUAAAAGGAAGCGAAUGGCAGAUUAUCACCCAAACCAGCGUGAUGAGAUAAGAAGAAAGUAUUUAAUUUGGGGACGUAAUCAGCCUGAAAUUGACUUUCCAUACAGAGAGUUUGGGAAGAAGAAGAAGAGGAGGAGGUUCAAUGAAGAUUGGUACGACGAUUAUGCAUAUUGGCUAGAGUACAGCGAGAAGGAGCACAAGGCCUAUUGCUUAUGUUGCUAUUUGUUUAGAGAAAACAUCAAAGAUAGCCACCAUGGGCAUGAUGCAUUUGUAGUGGAAGGCUUCAAUAGUUGGAACAAGCCAGAGCGAUUUGUGACUCAUGUUGGCAAUCGUAAUAGCUUUCACAGCAGGGCACUCAAGGAUUGUGAGGAUCUACUAAAAAAAGAUCAAUCAAUCUCUGCAGCCAUGCAUAGACAAAGCGAAAUUGAAAAGAAUGAGCAUCUCAUCCGCUUAAAUGCUGCAAUUGAUGUUUGUCGAUACUUGUUGCAUCAGGGGCAACCUUUCCGUGGUCACAAUGAAUCUAAAGAUUCUGAAAAUAAAGGAAACUACCGUGAGUUGAUGGAUUACACUAUUAAGCAGAAUGAUGUCAUUGCUAAGGCAUUCAAGAAUGCUCCAGAGAAUAAUCAGUUGUUGUCUCCAACAAUUCAGAGAGAUAUUGCCGAGUGUUUUGCAAAAGAAAUAUUGAGUUAUGUGAUGGAAGAAAUUGGUAAUGGUGCUUUUAGCUUAUUAGUUGAUGAGUGUCGAGAUGUUUCCGACAAAGAACAAAUGGCAGUUGUGCUCCGAUUCAUUGAUAAAUGUGCGCUGGUCCAAGAAAAGUUUGUUGGUGUUGUCCAUGUGGAGGAGACAACAUCUUCUUAUCUCAAGUCUUGCAUAGAUUUAUUAUUUUCGCAACUUGGUUUGAAUAUUAAACAAGUUAGAGGCCAAGGUUCUGACAGUGCAAGUAAUAUGUCUGUUUUGCUAAAAGUCGUGGGAGCAUCUUGCAAGAGAAAAGACCAACUUCGUGAGCAUCAUCGAGAAGAAGUGAGGAAAGCAAUUGGUUAUGGAGAGAUCUCUACAGGAACGGGACUAAAUCAAGAACUAUCACUUCAGAGACCAGGUGACACUCGAUGGAACUCCCAUUAUAAAACAUUGUUGGGUUUGUCAAAGAUGUUCUCAUCGGUGGUUAAAGUUCUAGAAUAUGUUGAGAAAGAUGGCACAGAUACUGGAAAGAGGCGUCAAGCUAGAGAUGUGGAAUCAACUAAACGGGAGUUAGAAAAGCUCAGAACCAAUGAAGGGUGGGAUUGUCUUAUGAGGAAGGUAUACUGUUUCUGUGAGAAACACGACAUUCCAGUACUGGACAUGGAAGAUGCCUAUGUUAACCCAAAGAAGCCAAGACAAAACACCGGUACUAACAAUGAACAUUAUUACCACGUUGACUGUUUCUUUGUUGUUAUGGAUCUGUUAGGAGAAGAGUUUAAUGACAUAUUUAAUGAGGUAAAUCUUGAGUUGCUUCUAUGCAUGUCUGCUUUGAGCCCAAGUGAUUUAUUUUGUCGUUUUGACAAGGCGAAGUUGCUGAAAUUAGCUAAGCAUUAUCCUGAUGAAUUUAAUCACAAAGAUAUGGUGACUCUUGAGCAUGAACUUGGUCUCUACAUACAUAAUAUGCUCCAUGAUACAAGGUUUUCUAGCUUGGACAAAAUAGGUGAUCUAGCUAAACUGAUGGUGGAUACAAGGAAGCUUUUGAAGCUAGCUUUGACUCUUCCUGUUGCCACUGCCACUGUUGAGAGAUGUUUUUCAGCUAUUAAGAUUGUAAAGAAUGCUUUGCGUAACAAAAUUGGUGAUGAUUCUUUGAGCCAUAGCCUAAUUUACUUUGUGGAAAAGGGACUGUUGGACGAAAUUACUAAUGAAGUGAUUGUUGAUCGUUUUCAUAAGAUGAAAGAUCAUCGUGGGAAGAACAAAAUAUAA